GCAUCGGUGGUUUAGUGUGAGCCGCUCCGAUUUCCCACUUUCUUCACAAUCAAUUCUAACGACUCCUCAGGGUAAAAUUAGCCGUUGCCAACCGCAAUAUCGGCUAGCCCCGGGUUCGAUUCCCGGCCGAUGCA